UCCGGCUUAUCACCGGCAGUUUUCUCAGAGUGCCCAGCCUUACCUGAUGGCAACAGAGAAUGAGGGUUGCGCUCGUUGCGGGACUUAACCCAACAUCUCACGACACGAGCUGACGACAGCCAUGCAGCACCUGUGCACCUCCCACCCGAAGUGAAGGAAUCCAUUUCUGGAAACCAAAGAGGGCAUGUCAAGACCUGGUAAGGUUCUUCGCGUUGCCUCGAAUUAAACCACAUGUUCCACCGCUUGUGCGGGUCCCCGUCAAUUUCUUUGAGUUUUAAUCUUGCGACCGUACUCCCCAGGCGGGGUGCUUAACGCGUUAGCUGCGCUACUCAGAGGUAACCCCCGAACAGCUAGCACCCAUCGUUUACAGCGUGGACUAC
rnacentral:misc_RNA from 1 species